rnacentral:rRNA from 1 species
CGUGUAGGCGGUUGGUUAAGUCGGAUGUGAAAGCCUGGGGCCUCAGCCCCAGAAGUGCAUCCGAAACUAUCCGGGCUAGAGCGCGAUAGAGGAGGGUGGAAUUCCUGGUGUAGCGGUGAAGUGCGUAGAUAUCAGGAGGAACACCGGCGGCGAAGGCGGCCCUCUGGAUCGUUGCUGACGCUGAGACGCGAAAGCGUGGGGAGCAAACAGGAUUAGAUACCCUGGUAGUCCACGCCUUAAACGAUGGGUACUAGGUGUUCGGGGUGUUGACCCCCUGAGUGCCGCAGUUAACGCAUUAAGUACCCCGCCUGGGGACUACGGCCGCAAGGUUAA